GAGGGUGCAAGCGUUAUCCGGAAUCAUUGGGUUUAAAGGGUCCGCAGGCGGACUGAUAAGUCAGUGGUGAAGUCCCGUAGCUUAACUACGGAACUGCCAUUGAAACUGUCAGUCUUGAAUUCGGUCGAAGUGGGCGGAAUGUGUCAUGUAGCGGUGAAAUGCAUAGAUAUGACACAGAACACCGAUAGCGAAGGCAGCUCACUAGGCCUGAAUUGACGCUCAGGGACGAAAGCGUGGGGAGCGAACAGGAUUAGAUACCCUGGUAGUCCACGCCGUAAACGACCAUUACUCGUUAUUAGCGAUAUACUGUUAGUGACUAAGCGAAAGUGAUAAGUAAUGCACCUGGGGAGUACGAUCGCAAGGUUGAAACUCAAAGGAAUUGACGGGGGCCCGCACAAGCGGUGGAGCAUGUGGUUUAAUUCGAUGAUACGCGAGGAACCUUACCAGGGCUUAAAUGCAUAAUGACAGGUCUGGAAACAGAUCCUUCUUCGGACAUUUUGCAAGGUGCUGCAUGGCUGUCGUCAGCUCGUGCCGUGAGGUGUUGGGUUAAGUCCCGCAACGAGCGCAACCCCUAUCUUUAGUUGCCAGCGUGUAAUGUCGGGGACUCUAAAGAAACUGCCUACGCAAGUAGUGAGGAAGGCGGGGACGACGUCAAGUCAUCACGGCCCUUACGUCCUGGGCCACACACGUGCUACAAUGGUAGAUACAGAGGGCAGCUACCCCGCGAGGGGAUGCGAAUCUCGAAAGUCUAUCUCAGUUCGGAUUGGAGUCUGCAACUCGACUCUAUGAAGCUGGAAUCGCUAGUAAUCGCGCAUCAGCCAUGGCGCGGUGAAUACGUUCCCGGGCCUUGUACACACCGCCCGUCAAGCCAUGGAAGCUGGGAGUGCCUGAAGUCGGUAACCGUAAGGAGCUGCCUAGGGUAAAACUAGUAACUGGGGCUAAGUCGUAACAAGGUAGCCGUACCGGAAGGUGCGGCUGGAACAUCUCCUUUCUAGAGAAUAGCCAUUUAAUGUGUUUACUAUUUAUGUUGUUUUCCUAAUCUCAUAACUUAAGGAUAAAACCUUAUAAGAAGUCCUCUCUAACUCAAGUUGGUGAGAGCGGGAUCUAAUAGUCCCGUAGCUCAGUUGGUUAGAGCACUACACUGAUAAUGUAGGGGUCAGCAGUUCAAAUCUGCUCGGGACUACUUUUAUGAAAUAAUUAAUGCAGAAUGUGACAAAUUUCGAUAACGAUUGAAAUUUUUUCUGCACUAUAACUUACUGGGGGAUUAGCUCAGCUGGCUAGAGCACUUGCCUUGCACGCAAGGGGUCAUCGGUUCGACUCCGAUAUCCUCCACUAAUGGCUUAUUUUCAUUGAUCAAUUGAUUUUGAUUGAUGUAACUAUAUAAGUUCUUUGACAUAUUGGAAUUGAUUGAAGUAAGAUUAAGUAGAAGUAAGUAGAAAACUAAUAAGUUACUAAGGGCACACGGGGAAUGCCUAGGCUCUCAAAGGCUAAGAAGGACGUGAUAAGCUGCGAUAAGGUACGGGGAGAAGCAAAUAUUUUGUGAUCCGAACAUUU
rnacentral:sRNA from 1 species